rnacentral:pre_miRNA from 1 species
UUGGAGUUCAUGCAAGUUCUAACCAGUUUAACCAGUAGCUGGGUGAAUUGCAGUACUCCAACA